rnacentral:rRNA from 1 species
AUGGACGAUCCUACUGCUCAGCCUCCUGUGGUUGCUGCUGCUCAGGCUCAGGCUCAGGGUCAGGGUCAGGAUCAGGAUCAGGAUAUCACGCCCUUGGUUAAUUGGGUCCCAGUGUUUGAACGAAGCAAAGCAUCGGUCUUCCUCAUCCAGUUUACACCAGUAAGACGUCGGGUGAAUGAAGCCCGGGUUAUCGCUGGGGCAGCCGGCUCCAAGACUCGAGAGCAGCUGAACGCAAUUUUCGCAUCACGGUGGCUAACAGAAACUGGCAUCUCCUCGCACAUGGAUGGCGCCUACCUUUACAUUCUCACCACCGCACACAUUGUGGAUCAUCUGUUCCAUGCGGUCUACAGGCCAAUUGAUCCAGCCACGGUGAACCGGCUCUUUACAAUCGAGGUCACAUGUUUCCAUGCCGAGAGAGACUUCGCAGUUAAUAGGAACAUGGUCGGGGAUCGCACCUACACGCCGGCGACGGUCUGCGGGAUUGACUGCCUGAGGGAUUUGAUGAUGCUGCGCGUCGAUCGGGCAGAGCUGGCCGUGAGGGGCGUCGGGCAGCAGAGGGUGCAAUGCACACGGCAGCACCCGGUUCUGCAGUUUGACGGAACACGCGAGUUUGGCAUGCAGUGCAUGCUCGUUUCGUGGCCUGCCUUCCGUCCCUGCACCUUCGCCACGGGCCUUCAGUGCCUCCACCGGUUUCUGACUGGCAUGAGCACCAACCCAGUUGGGUAUGAUAUGGAGCUGCUCGAGGCUUACAUCGGAUCCGAUCAGGGGUCCUCGGGAGGCCCUCUCUUCAACGCCGCUGGCCAGGUAAAGGGUAUUCUACACGGAGGGAGUGGGACGCACUCACAGUUCAUUUUGCCCGGAGAUAUUCUACCUUUCAUCCAGAACAAUGCCCCCCCUCAGCCACCUUCAACGUCAUCUUCAUCUCCCCGGGGUCCCAGAGGAGGAGGAGGAAGAGGAGAAGGAGGAGGUGGUCCCAAGCGCGGUCCUAACAAAGAUGACAAGUCGGGUCCAUCAGAUCCUCCAAAGCGCCGUCGGAGUGUCCGUGACAAGGGCAAGGCCACCGCUGCAUGGGGAUCCGGCCGGUGGAGGUACACGCUCAGAUCCCACGGCAAGGGCAUGGCCGUUGGUGCAGGUGGAUCCGGCCAGAAGUAUCUGCUUAGACCCCGCUCAUGA